rnacentral:rRNA from 1 species
GGGUGCGAUCGUACCUAGACUAAUGCAUCGGAUCCCAUCAGAAAUCUGCAGUUAAGCAUGCUUGGGCGAGAGUAGUACUAGGAUGGGUGACCUCUUGGAAAGGCCUCUUGUUGCACCCC